rnacentral:rRNA from 1 species
GACGAACGCUGGCGGCGUGCUUAACACAUGCAAGUCGAACGGUGACGCUGGAGCUUGCUCCAGCUGAUCAGUGGCGAACGGGUGAGUAACACGUGAGCAACCUGCCCUUGACUCUGGGAUAACCCCGGGAAACCGGAGCUGAUACCGGAUACGAACCGCACGGGCAUCUGCGCGGUUGGAAAGAUUUAUCGGUCAAGGGUGGGUUCGCGGCCUAUCAGCUUGUUGGUGGGGUAAAGGCCCACCAAGGCGACGACGGGUAGCCGGCCUGAGAAGGCGACCCGCCACACGGGGACUGAGACACGGCCCAGACUCCUACGGGAGGCAGCAGUGGGGAAUAUUGCACAAUGGGCGAAAGCCUGAUGCAGCGACGCCGCGUGAGGGACGAAGGCCUUCGGGUUGUAAACCUCUUUCAGCAGGGAAGAAGCGAAAGUGACGGUACCUGCAGAAGAAGCACCGGCUAACUACGUGCCAGCCGCCGCCGUAAGAC